rnacentral:lncRNA from 1 species
UCAUUUUCUCUUGCCGCCACUGUGUAAGAAGUGCCUUUUGUCUCCCUCCGUGAUUCUGAGGCCUCCCCAGCCAUGUGGAACUCCUCUUCUGCCCUGCCCGGCCACUCCUUUGAGUGACAGGGGGUAAUUGAGAAGCUGCUCCUCCCUCCAGGAAGGAAGACCCGGAGCUCUGGCUUCCCUCGGCAAAGCACAUAUAAACCCACAGCCACUGCGGGUGGAAGGAGAAGGGCAGGGUGGAAAAAGUUUGAGAGAAGGAGGGAGGAAAAGGUGUCCUGGCUAGCACCAUGUGGAUUCUCUUGAGAUGAGAAGAAAAUGCCCGGCUACGUCCCCCUUCUGCUGCUCCUGCUUCUCCUGAGGUGUUCACAACGGGGUGGAGGAGUUAAUUUUGGUGAGAAGGAUGCAAAAGUCCCCGGGACCUGGAGAGAUGGAGUCAGGGUCCCUGGAGAAGGAGCCUCUUGGGACUCAGACAGGGCCAGUCCUGAGCGAAGGUACGGAAUAGCACCAGUUCAGAGAGGAGUGAGCUUGAGAAAGAGUCAGGUUUAGUGUCCCACGGAAAGAGACCAGACCUGGAAAAGACAGAGUCAAAGCUGGGUGAGCAGGCCUUCGAAGGGCGUGGCUCAGCAAAGAUAAUCCAUAUUGUAGUGCAAGAGGAUUCUUUGUGGAAUAUGUUUUACCAGAAUUAAACCAAAAAUGCCAAAUGAUCCCUAACUCGAAUAAAUCUCACCACAUUACCUGGGGAGAGGUGUCAUUUGGAUGUGAGGAUAGUUAUGAAAAUACUGAGCAGAGCAGAUGAGGAUAGGCCAUCAACAAUUCACAUUAAAUGAGAUUACUUUUUAGUAGGACUAAGCCAAAGCAUUUCCACUAAGCACCCAGAGACCAGCCCUAAAGACUCAAGAAUAAGAGAAAAUGAUGUAACUGCAGAUGGAAGGACCACUGAGGACCACAUCACUGCAGACCCAGGGACCACCGAGGACUCUGUCACUGCAGACCCAGGGACCACUGAGGACAAUGUGACUGUGGACCCAGGGACCACCGAGGGCUCUGUCACUGCAGACCCAGCGACCACCAAGGACUAUGUGUCUGCAGACCCAGGGACCACCAAGGAUUCUGUCACUGCAGACCCAGGGACCACUGAGAACUUUGUCACUGCAGACCCAGGGACCACCAAGGACUCCAUCACUGCAGACCCAAGGACCACAGAGGACUCCGUCACUGCAGACCCAGGGACCACCAAACACUCCAUCACUGUAGACCCAGGGACCACUGAGGACUCUGUCACUGCAGACCCAGGGACCACCAAACACUCCAUCACUGCAGACCCAGGGACCACCGAGGACUCCGUCACUGCAGACCCAGGGACCACAGAAGAUGAAACCACUAAACAUGGUGACACUCACCUUCUGUGAACUACUUCAGUCACAGCAGUGAAACCCACCAGGAUCCUGACACCCAUGGGAAUUAUCCUCAUAUCCCUGGCUGCAACCACAGUCACUGUUGUGCUCUUUGUUGGAUUGGGCUUCAUUGUGAAAGAGUGUUUCCUGCCUCCAUUAAAUCCAUCCACCAGGGUUAUUUAUCAUCCCCAUGUCAUGGACUACAGUACACCAUAAAGAGGACCCCAGCAGUGACUACAGUUGGUUCUAGAAAAAGGAGACCCCUCAUCCGCCUCUGCAAGACUAUGCAGCAUGAUGUGUAUCCUCAGGCCUCCACUCCUCCGCCCUAGUCUGGAGCCCUGGGCCCACCACAUGAGGAAGGCAGCUGGCCCCUGGAAUAAGCAUGUGGAGGACACUCAGAAGGAUGCCCAUCUGCUCUGAGUGUCUCCUAAUUCUGCCUGACCUUGGUUACUUCCUCUAGACAAUCACCUUUACCUAUCUACCAGGUUUUGAGGAAUUACACACAGCUCAGGUAUAAGAGAUAUUCGGUAAGUCUGAUCAAAUCAAUAAAGCAAAUUUUAUCUGUUUUUGUCUGGGACAUAUCUCUACAUUCAUUCAUUUAACCAA